UGGGGAAUAUUGCACAAUGGAGGAAACUCUGAUGCAGCGACGCCGCGUGAGCGAUGAAGUAUUUCGGUAUGUAAAGCUCUAUCAGCAGGGAAGAUAAUGACGGUACCUGAGUAAGAAGCUCCGGCUAAAUACGUGCCAGCAGCCGCGGUAAUACGUAUGGGGCAAGCGUUAUCCGGAUUUACUGGGUGUAAAGGGAGCGUAGACGGCUGUGCAAGUCUGAAGUGAAAGGCAUGGGCUCAACCUGUGGACUGCUUUGGAAACUGUGCAGCUAGAGUGUCGGAGAGGUAAGUGGAAUUCCUAGUGUAGCGGUGAAAUGCGUAGAUAUUAGGAGGAACACCAGUGGCGAAGGCGGCUUACUGGACGAUGACUGACGUUGAGGCUCGAAAGCGUGGGGAGCAAACAGGAUUAGAUACCCUGGGUA
rnacentral:rRNA from 1 species